AUGGACUUGCUAUUCUGUGCAUCUAGUAUUUUUUACACCUUAUGGUGUAUGAGCGGCGGCGACGGCAGCAUCCUAGAAAGCAUCGCCUCCUCCGUCUGCGACAUCUUCGCCUGCGACGGCGGCAUCUGCUCCUGCUUUUGCUGCGGCAGCAUCGGUAUCUGGCCAUGGUGCUGGCUUGGCCGGGAGCUGGCUCAGAGCAGGGG
rnacentral:misc_RNA from 1 species